CGGGGACCCCAGCGGUUGCCGAACCACGGCCACGUGUGUCCUGACCCUCCCUUCUCCCUAUUCCAUGCGUGGGUGCCAUCCCACGGCAUCCCUAACCCCCUCUUCAAUGUGUCUCCCCCCAGGUCAGGAAGUGUCCCCGGAUGAUGGAGCCAAACGGUGACUGCAGCAGCACAUCCACGGUCAACCCGGAGCCAAAUACCCUCUUUGAAGCCAUUAAAUCAGCUAAAAUCGCCGUGGAGAUGGUGGUGGACAACUGGUUGGAGACCUACAAGCGAGACCGUGAGACAGGGUUCUUGGAGCUCAUCAACUUUAUCGUCUGCUCCUGCGCCGCAGCCUGAUGGUGGUGAAGGAGGAAGAGGAGGAGCAGGAGGAAGAGCAGAGAGGCGAAGAGGAACAAGAGGAGGGC